AGAGUUUGAUCCUGGCUCAGAUUGAACGCUGGCGGCAGGCCUAACACAUGCAAGUCGAGCGGUAGCACAGAGAGCUUGCUCUCGGGUGACGAGCGGCGGACGGGUGAGUAAUGUCUGGGAAACUGCCUGAUGGAGGGGGAUAACUACUGGAAACGGUAGCUAAUACCGCAUAACGUCGCAAGACCAAAGUGGGGGACCUUCGGGCCUCAUGCCAUCAGAUGUGCCCAGAUGGGAUUAGCUGGUAGGUGGGGUAACGGCUCACCUAGGCGACGAUCCCUAGCUGGUCUGAGAGGAUGACCAGCCACACUGGAACUGAGACACGGUCCAGACUCCUACGGGAGGCAGCAGUGGGGAAUAUUGCACAAUGGGCGCAAGCCUGAUGCAGCCAUGCCGCGUGUGUGAAGAAGGCCUUCGGGUUGUAAAGCACUUUCAGCGGGGAGGAAGGCGGUGAGGUUAAUAACCUCAUCGAUUGACGUUACCCGCAGAAGAAGCACCGGCUAACUCCGUGCCAGCAGCCGCGGUAAUACGGAGGGUGCAAGCGUUAAUCGGAAUUACUGGGCGUAAAGCGCACGCAGGCGGUCUGUCAAGUCGGAUGUGAAAUCCCCGGGCUCAACCUGGGAACUGCAUUCGAAACUGGCAGGCUAGAGUCUUGUAGAGGGGGGUAGAAUUCCAGGUGUAGCGGUGAAAUGCGUAGAGAUCUGGAGGAAUACCGGUGGCGAAGGCGGCCCCCUGGACAAAGACUGACGCUCAGGUGCGAAAGCGUGGGGAGCAAACAGGAUUAGAUACCCUGGUAGUCCACGCUGUAAACGAUGUCGAUUUGGAGGUUGUGCCCUUGAGGCGUGGCUUCCGGAGCUAACGCGUUAAAUCGACCGCCUGGGGAGUACGGCCGCAAGGUUAAAACUCAAAUGAAUUGACGGGGGCCCGCACAAGCGGUGGAGCAUGUGGUUUAAUUCGAUGCAACGCGAAGAACCUUACCUGGUCUUGACAUCCACAGAACUUUCCAGAGAUGGAUUGGUGCCUUCGGGAACUGUGAGACAGGUGCUGCAUGGCUGUCGUCAGCUCGUGUUGUGAAAUGUUGGGUUAAGUCCCGCAACGAGCGCAACCCUUAUCCUUUGUUGCCAGCGGUCCGGCCGGGAACUCAAAGGAGACUGCCAGUGAUAAACUGGAGGAAGGUGGGGAUGACGUCAAGUCAUCAUGGCCCUUACGACCAGGGCUACACACGUGCUACAAUGGCAUAUACAAAGAGAAGCGACCUCGCGAGAGCAAGCGGACCUCAUAAAGUAUGUCGUAGUCCGGAUUGGAGUCUGCAACUCGACUCCAUGAAGUCGGAAUCGCUAGUAAUCGUAGAUCAGAAUGCUACGGUGAAUACGUUCCCGGGCCUUGUACACACCGCCCGUCACACCAUGGGAGUGGGUUGCAAAAGAAGUAGGUAGCUUAACCUUCGGGAGGGCGCUUACCACUUUGUGAUUCAUGACUGGGGUGAAGUCGUAACAAGGUAACC
rnacentral:rRNA from 1 species